ACUUGAAACUUGAAGUGUGCCAGUUUUGGUGGUCUAAAUGGUGGUUUAUAUUUAGACCAAGAAAUGGACUUUAGACAUCCAUGGAGCAUUUUUGUAAUAGACCCAAUCCAUGAUUGGAGAUGGGUUUUGCUCAACCAUGGUCUAAAACAUGGACUUUGAACUUUCUAUUGGAGAUAGCCUAAGAUGUCUUCAACGCUAUCUGCGCCACACCCAGCCUUCUUGACUACGUCAAUGCAGCCUCCUCGCGUCAAACGGGUAUUCUGCUCUGGGCACCCAUGGGCUAAUGUCCGCGUUAACUAACAAAGCCUCCGCCACAACUUUCAGAGAGUUUAUCCGUCACAGCCUCUUACUUCCAUAGCGUUAAGAGCAGCAGCGUUGGUGUCACACUCCGCCAAGCGACAAAAGCCAAGCCAAGCCUCCGCCAACCCGCUGGCCAAAGCUCCGCUACCAUUGGCCGAACCUCCGCUAGCUAAAGCUCUGCUACCGCUGGCCGAACUUCUGCUGGCCAAAGCUGCAGCUCCGCUAGCCAGGCCUCCACCAACCUGCUAGACAGAGGUCCAAAUUGUGCGCACACCCACGGCUCUCUUCAUUGAGUCUCCACUCUCCACUAUUAUGCCUGCGUACAAAGCUCUGCCGCCAUUCCAAUUUUGUACUCAACCUGCAAGCAUAAUUCGUGGUCGUCGACCCACUCAAAAACUAGGAUACAAUUCAGCUCUCAGUGGUGUAGCGCCUUCAAACAUCGAGUGCCUUUGAGCCGUACAGAGAUAAGCUCCCUUGUUCAUGUCAUUAUUAUCCAGUAGUUAAAUAAACUUCACGUGCUACGGAUUACAUCAACCACACAUGUCCACAUAUGUGUGCACAUGACCUGCUAAGCAUUCUUUGCCAUAUCUCAUAUUUCACUUAUAAUCCGCUAUACUCCACGAUCAAGUGCCAUGCACUAACAACAUGAGACACUGGUCUGCCUAUGUAUCUAUUCAGCUACUUGUCAUAGGCAUCUUGAUUUAUAUUCAUUAUUAUGUCUGUCUCCCGAACAAAGUCACUACACCAUUUACUUUCUCUUGUUUUUCAUUUGAAUUGAAGACCAACUCAUAUAGCCAUUACAUAUGUAUACAUACAUAUCAAAAAAGACAAAUUUCCAUAUGGCCGCUGCAUGUAUAUUAAAGACUUGGCUCACUUAUUUAAGAGAGUGCCAUGUAUCCAUGCCUUUCUUUUAUGCAAUUAUAAUGGAUUCCAGGAAUGCAUACCUCUUAUUCUUCCAGCAGCUACACAUAUGUACCAUGCAUCUAUGCCUUGACAAAGCUCAUUUAUCUCAAAUAGCAUGAAACACUUGAACACUUUGUCUGUACACAUGCUACACAUAUAUGUCGAUGCUCUGUCCAUAUUCUUUCAUGGUUGAUUUGCUAGCCACAUAUAAGAGAUCCAUACAUGACUCAUUACCUACUGCCACAGCAUGCUAUACUUGUCCUUCUAUGCACACAUAACACACAACCACAUAAUUAUGCUUCACUGCCAAAGCAUCUAAUGGUAAUUGGUAUGCUGUACAUGCCCUUUGUCUCACUAUUGACAUUCAGAAUCUCUCUCAGGCAAAUUUCUGGCUUCAUUUAUGCACAUAGGAUUAUCAAGAUCUGCAUGUCAUAAUUUUUCAAUUGGUUUGGAUCCUUAUUACUCAUCGACCCAGCCUACGUAUUAUCUGAUCCUCAAAUAGUGAAUACGUAUUCCACUUUUGCCAUCAUUGACAAAAGCUCUAAAUUUCGUGCUCCCCGUUUACGCAAUUGUAGUGAAAUCCAAGCAUAUCUCUUGUUCUUCUAGUAAGAACAAGACAGAAUUCUUCAGACCUUCGGAGUUUUAAAGGGCUAAUCAGGCUAUUAAUCCUACAAUUUCAAAUGCCCAUAAGUCCCAUGCUUAAAUGGUUCAUUUAAAUUACCUGUCAGUAUUUGACAUCCGUAAGUACAUAUAAUCAAUGUCACUCUACUACGUGAUUUUUACAUUUGCUUCAUUGAUACACUAGUCAAUACUAAGCACACUUACAUAUCUCUAGGCUUCUGUUGUUAACAUUGAGAAUGUUCAAAUCAGGUCUAUUGUAUCUCACAUAUAUGCUCCUAUGACCAUACCUCAUUAUCCAAUAGAUACGCACAUUUGACAUGUUAAAACUCCAUCGAAAAUUCUUCUCUAAAUUUCAUUGCCAAUUUGAAAUUCAUGUUAGAAGCAUACAAUCAAACAUGUCAUCAACUACUACAUCGCUUAUACACCUUGCUUAAUAUCUUAUCGAAGUACAUAAGCUAUUAGUGUUGAUUUUACAUACUCAUGUACUAAUCACCUAUUUUGUUUCAAGGGGACAUAAUCACCAAUCACCUCUCCAAUUAACGAAAUCAUCAUCAUUCUACUAAGGUGCUUCGCCGGAGUAAUGGAGCGUCAUGCUUGGACAACUCCAACAUGAUUUGGGUACUUAUGUAAAUUCCAAACUCCAACUCACUCCAAAUCGGCAUAAGAUAAGUAAAAUGUUAUAUCUCAAUACACACUCAUACAAUUAGAGCUAUUGCCAUGCCUUUACAUGCUUUUACUACUUCUAAGCAUGCCUACAAUAUAUCUCACUUAAUAUGCAUUUACAUGCUUCUAUGACUUUAAGCAUGCGUACACUAUGUAUCAAUGUUACUAGUACGUCUACCAUGGUAGUUAUGCCAUGCUUUAUGUCUCCAUGACCUCUAAGCAUAUUUACAACAAUAUCAAAAAUGUUAUUAACAACUUUAUUACUAGUACAUGUUAUACACAUGCCAUGCUUAAAUCAAUUUAAUGUGACACUCAUUUAAACAAACUAUGCCAUUGUUUCAGUUGUCUAGAGAGGAGUUCGAUCCAGCUGAACACAUGAUGUAUCGGUUUGCUACUACCACUAUCGGUCUUGCUUAUCUGCAAAACAGACGAAGGUCAGAGGGAAGACCGGGUGUGCCGGCCUUCAACGCUCCGAUGCCUAAGUCAGUAUUGUGUAAGAUAAUAAUAAUGGAAAGUGAUAGUAAACAGUUACCUCUUUGGGUUGUUGGAGAUGACCUUAAUGUAGCAGAUUUAUGGGAGCUUGGUUCCAUUUCUUCGGUGUGGGACGCUUGGGGUCCCCGAUAUCGCCCCGAGGGGUAUCGGGACCCUCGGCUGGGAGCUUACCUCGCUUGUGUAUUGGCGAUACGAGUCUUGUGCUUCUGAUACUUGUGCUUAGGAGGUAUGUGCAUACCAACAGCCACAUCUAAAAGCUUGUGACACUUAUGACUUAAUUAAACAUGCUUGGAUAACGACUUGCUUGGGUUACGACUCGCUUGGGUAUCGAACAUGGCCAUGACUUGCUUGGGUCACGCCCCGUAUGCUUGCACAACGCCUACCCGCUCAGCUACACCAAACUUGCUCGAACAUAACCUAACUCACUCAAACAUAUCCAACAUGCUUUAGUUAAGCUCUAGGUUCACAAUGCUUCAUAGCUUUCAUCGGAAGCUACUCCCAAAAUUUUAUAUGGACACCCAUCACACUUGCAAUUAUCUAAUAUGCAUGUCACAUGGCCAUAAGAUCCAUAUAUUAUUACUUGCUAGCUAUACUUAUUUGUCAUUGUUCAUACAAUUACAAACUUUACAUGUACUCUAUAUGUAAACAUAUGGUCUAGCCUCCGGGCACCAUACUCUGUCAAACUUUCCCCACGGGAAAAAGAUCUAAACAGGUCUAGACUCCAAGAGUCUAUGGUCCACGACCAACCGCCAAGCGGUAAGGCUAUGCCUUAUAAUGACGAUGACCGCUACGCGUACAGUUUAGUUUGCACCAAGACUUGGAACCCACUGCUUCCUCUUCUCUUAGUUUGAGUUUCUCCCGCACCAUUCAACAGCAAAACCUCUCAAAUCUUUCUCCAGCCAUCGAUGUCAACCCUUGAAAGAUUAUGUUCGGGCUGUUUAAUCUAUUAAGGCCACCAUAGCUGAGAGAGCAAAUGCCUUCAGGCGACAGUGUUGCUGUCUGAAACUGCUGUUAGGCUGGUGUAUUUGUAUGUGAACAACAUUUAAGUAGUGGCUACUGUCAAUCUGUUGUUUAAAUAAAACAAAAUUGGUUCAGAAAAAAAGAAUUGCAAAAUAGUGUAGAUGACAACCAUUUCAUUUAACUGAAGUAGGACUUGGCUACAUUGGUAACAAAACCUCAAUUUGGAGCCACUGCUUACCAAGAAAGUUUCUGGGUUUACUUCCUAUACAAUAAUAUCUCAGUUUAAGGCAAGAUCUGAAAAGACCCAAGAUUUUACGAGAAAAAGAUGAGUGAGUGUGAAAAUGGAGUACAGGAAGCUCAAAGAUUAGGAUGAAAAUGGAAAUUCAGUUGCCGACGACAUAAAAAAUUUACGGGGAACGCCGCUUUCUAUUGCGCCAACUAUGGGAGAGCGACCAAUAGACUGAAAAUGGAAGCACAAGUAUGAUUGAAGUAGAGGAGCUUCAGCCAUAUUCACAUGAGGGAACAAUGAUGACCCACAUUGAUACCAUAUUCAAGUAUGCUAUUGAUUUAUUUUGAUUGAGGUGAGAGGGAAUCUAGAAGACAAUUAUCUCAGUUCUUGAUAGUGCUCAUGGCCUCUGUAAGUGUGGCUCCUUCAUCUGGAUUAGGAGACGGCAGUGGAAAUACGGUUGCCCAGUGAGAUGAAUAACAUGAAAAUUAGGGAUGACAAGUUAUGACUGAUGGAGUUGGUCUCUGGUCUUGGUGGCUGAAAUUUUUUUUGUUACAGUGUACUGAAUGUAGCCAUUGAGGUAAUUGUUGUGUUGGCCUGCUGUUCAAAUUCUUUGUUACAACUUCAGCAAUUAAGCUAUUUUUUCAUUCUAGGAGUUGACCUGGCUUAUAUGCUCAUUGGUAUUGAAAAGAGACACCUACCUGAAGCAUAGCCGGAAGCAAAAUUGAGCUGUGAAAAUCUUAAUCAAAGAUUAUGUAGUGAAACCUUGAAUGGCAGGAGACACGAUGAUUUAGGUAAGACACGUUCUCAUGAAACUUGCAGUUUAUAAUGCAGAAGCAGGGGAGGAUUCUGAUAUUAUACUUAAAUACCAGCUUUUGUAAUAUGUAAAGUUAUGACAUUCACCAAUAAACGUUUCUUAGUUUAUGGUUC